rnacentral:ncRNA from 1 species
GAGAAGUCGAUGACGGAGAGUAGUAAAAGGAAUUUGCUUUUCAGAGAGCUGCCGGGGGGUGCAAGGCAGUAAGAAAUUUCUUUGAACUCGCUCCUGAGUUGUAUAGGUGAAAACAGUAGCCUAUACCGGAACAGGCCGUUAUCCUGCCGAGUGGGGAAACUGCUGUUUCCCAAUUAGGGUGGUACCACGGAAGUUAACCUUUCGUCCCUUGC